rnacentral:rRNA from 1 species
GUGGGGAAUAUUGGACAAUGGGGGGAACCCUGAUCCAGCCAUGCCGCGUGUGUGAAGAAGGCCUUUUGGUUGUAAAGCACUUUAAGUGAGGAGGAGGCUACCGAGAUUAAUACUCUUGGAUAGUGGACGUUACUCGCAGAAUAAGCACCGGCUAACUCAGUGCCAGCAGCCGCGGUAAUACAGAGGGUACAAGCGUUAAUCGGAUUUACUGGGCGUAAAGCGCGCGUAGGUGGGCAAUUAAGUCAAAUGUGAAAUCCCCGAGCUUAACUUGGGAAUUGCAUUCGAUACUGGUUGGCUAGAGUAUGGGAGAGGAUGGUAGAAUUCCAGGUGUAGCGGUGAAAUGCGUAGAGAUCUGAAGGAAUACCGAUGGCGAAGGCAGCCAUCUGGCCUAAUACUGACACUGAGGUGCGAAAGCAUGGGGAGCAAACAGGAUUAGAUACCCCGGUAGUCC